AUUGAACGCUGGCGGCAUGCCUAACACAUGCAAGUAGAACGCAGUUGCGAACGGGUGAGUAACGCGUAGGUAACUGCCUCAUAGCGGGGGAUAACUAUUGGAAACGAUAGCUAAUACCGCAUACUGUGAGAUGGACCUGGGUUGUAUUAGCCAGUUGGUGAGGUAAAGGCUCACCAAUGCGACGAUACAUAGCCGGCCUGGUAGGGGGAUCGGCAAACCGGGGACUGAGACACGGCCCAGAUGCCUACGGUAGGCAGCAGGAGGGAAUCUUCGGCAAUGGCCGGAAGUCUGACCGAGCAACGCCGCGUGAGUGAAGAAGGUUUUCGGAUCGUAAAGCUCUGUUGUUAGAGAAACGGUAACUAACCAGAAAGGGACGGCGAACUACGUGCCAGCAGCCGCGGUAAU
rnacentral:rRNA from 1 species